UACGUAGGGUGCGAGCGUUAAUCGGAAUUACUGGGCGUAAAGGGUGCGCAGGCGGCGUCGCAAGUCAGGCGUGAAAUCCCCGGGCUUAACCUGGGAACUGCACUUGAAACUACGAUGCUGGAGUAUGGCAGAGGGAGGUGGAAUUCCACGUGUAGCGGUGAAAUGCGUAGAGAUGUGGAGGAACACCGAUGGCGAAGGCAGCCUCCUGGGCCAAUACUGACGCUCAUGCACGAAAGCGUGGGGAGCAAACAGGAU
rnacentral:rRNA from 1 species